rnacentral:rRNA from 1 species
UGUGGGGGAUAACCAUUGGAAACGAUGGCUAAUACCGCAUGAUGCCUACGGGCCAAAGAGGGGGACCUUCGGGCCUCUCGCGUCAGGAUAUGCCUAGGUGGGAUUAGCUAGUUGGUGAGGUAAGGGCUCACCAAGGCGACGAUCCCUAGCUGGUCUGAGAGGAUGAUCAGCCACACUGGAACUGAGACACGGUCCAGACUCCUACGGGAGGCAGCAGUGGGGAAUAUUGC